UGAGGAAUUUUGCGCAAUGGGGGAAACCCUGACGCAGCGACGCCGCGUGGGUGACGAAGGUCUUCGGAUCGUAAAGCCCUGUCAGGUGGGAAGAAGUGCACAGCGGUUAAUACCCGAUGUGUUUGACGGUACCACCAAAGGAAGCACCGGCUAACUCCGUGCCAGCAGCCGCGGUAAUACGGAGGGUGCUAGCGUUGUUCGGAAUCACUGGGCGUAAAGGGCGCGUAGGCGGCUGAUCAAGUCGGAUGUGAAAGUCCAUGGCUCAACUGUGGAAGUGCAUCCGAAACUGGUCGGCUUGAGUACCGGAGGGGAAAGUGGAAUUCCCGGUGUAGAGGUGAAAUUCGUAGAUAUCGGGAGGAAUACCGGUGGCGAAGGCGACUUUCUGGACGGAUACUGACGCUGAGGCGCGAAAGCGUGGGGAGCAAACAGG
rnacentral:rRNA from 1 species